UACCUUUGCGCACUUAAAUUAAAACGUUUUACAUAACAAUCAUUCAAGUAAUAUUGGCAUG
rnacentral:ncRNA from 1 species